rnacentral:rRNA from 1 species
CUACGGGAUGCUCCAGGCGCGAAACCUUUACAAUGCACGAAAGUGUGAUAAGGGUAUUCCUAGUGCUCAUGUUUUACAUGGGCUUUUGCUAAGCGUAAAUAACUUGGCGAAUAAGGGGUGGGAAAGACUGGUGCCAGCCGCCGCGGUAACACCAGCGCCCCGAGUGGGAACCAUUUUUAUUGGGCCUAAAGCGUCCGUAGCAGGUUAAGCAAAUCUCUUGUGAAAUUGUUCAGCUUAACUGAACAGCGUGCAGGAGACACUACUUAACUAGGAACCGGGAGGAGUCAGAGGUAUUUUGGGGGGAGCGGUAAAAUGCUAUAAUCCUCGAAUGACCACCGAUGGCGAAGGCAUCUGACCAGAACGGAUUCGACUGUGAGGGACGAAAGCCAGGGGAGCGAACCGGAUUAGAUACCCUUGUAGUC